UACGUAGGGUGCGAGCGUUAAUCGGAAUUACUGGGCGUAAAGCGCACGUAGGUGGCGACGUAAGUCGGGUGUGAAAGCCCCGGGCUCAACCUGGGAAUUGCAUUCGAGACUGCAUUGCUGGAGUACGGAAGAGGAAGGCGGAAUUCCCGGUGUAGCGGUGAAAUUCGUAGAUAUCGGGAGGAACACCAGUGGCGAAGGCGGCGAUCUGGGUUGAUACUGACGCUGAGGUGCGAAAGCGUGGGGAGCAAACAGG
rnacentral:rRNA from 1 species